AUUUGAAGAGAAGAAAAAGCUGUUCUGUCUACCGCGCGUUCGAAUGCCUAAUCGCUUUCUCUUAGUAUUUGUCGCGUAGCUGCUCCCGGCGCGUUGCCGGCGAGCUGCUGCCGAGACGCGUUUCGCCCGAGCGAAAACAGUGGCGGACGGUUUUGUACGUCACCAGCGUCUAUUUCGCUCAACGGUUGAUGAGCGACUCCCCCCGUGUCGCUCGACUCUCUUUGUUAGAUUUUCCUGCUCAACACUCGAACUCUAGAUCUUUUUGUACCUGCGUCGUAGCUUCUUGAUCCCCGGAAUCUGUACUUAAAGGCGUUCAGCGUUGGUUGCCUCGUGAUUCUGGUGCAGCAACUUGCAGUGAUAGCUCUGGAGGAUCAGCUGCAUUACCACGUGGUCCGUUAGAAAUUUGCACGCUCUGGCCCUGCUCUGCAUCCUAAUGAUCCCCUUAUCGUCAAGGAAUGGGCUGAGGCCGUAAAGCUCACUGUUGAAGAGUAUGAUUUGUCAGUAAUGCUUUAGUAGGAUAAUUCAAUUCGCUCCAUGCUGCCGUAUCUGUCGCCGCUGGUGCCACCUGACUUGUUGCCAUCCACAACACUCACUUUUCUGAGAUAUGACUGUACCCUUCCCUUUGACAAGAAGUGCGAGCACUUCGUGGAUGUAUUCCUUUUGAGCUGUCCGAAAUAGGGUGCCCUCGGCCGCUUGCAGCUCAUGUGACGCAAGGAAGAUGCGUCAUGCACCGAGAGUGCUUUUACUCCCUCCUCCUGGCUAAGGGACUUGGCUGCUGCACCAUUGACUGCCCAGUUUGCUUGUCAAUAACUGGCGCUGCCUUCCACGCUUCCGCCGGCGUUUUCUCGGCCACCUCGGCCCUCGCCUCCAGUUCUCUCUCUCCUUUGCUGUAGCAUCGCUGAGCGCCUGCGUCCGUUUUCGCGAACCCUAAGGCCGUUUUGGUUGUCCCGGUCCAUUCGAGGGGUGUCUGUGUCGUUGCGUUUGGUCGUCAUAAACGUCUGUUUAUUGACUGACUCUGAUCCCACUCCCUCCACUCACACCAUCAUAUCACACUAACCAAGGCGUUUUGCAAUAAAUUUUACAUGUUUGUCACCUAUAAGUGACCUACCCGCGCCUUUGUCACUAUUCCCUAUUCCUUUUCUUACUUCUCUGACUCUUCUUUCCGAGAGAAGGCACAUAAAAUCCAUAGAAAACGAGAAGCAUUUUCUGCUCCAGCAACUUUUUGAUCGUUAACAAGAAGCAUUCUUUGCUUAAUAAAAAUGGUUAAGAAUUGUCCAAGCAAGGCCUAACACGCUUCUCUAUUUGUUUUUCAUACAUGAGAACUAAACAUGAAGAGCAUUUUCCUAAAAGAUAAUGAAUCGAAAUAACAUUUUUGUGAGCAGAAGUAGGCACUAUUGCUUAAACGUAAUAUAAGACUAAAGAAGUUAAAAAACGAAGCGUGUAUUUAUCAGUAAUAAUUAAUAUAACGUCCAUAAUACUUCUUUGCAUGGUCGUGGUAGAAAGAUUACCAAUAGAAUAGAUUAGCUAGUCAAUAGCUUUUUGCAAUCAGAUUAGCUCUCCUCUUUGUUAAAAAAAAAAGGCCAAAUGCUCACAUAAUCAAGACACUCACAACACUGUUUUGAAGUCUGUACGUAAGAUAAGAGAGUUUCACUUUGAAACUUUUCCAGUUUUUACCAAUACUUUCUAUCGGAAUAGACAAAUAGUAAAAAUUAAUAAUUACACUGACAAUAAGAACCAGAAAACAAAAGAUGGAAUUAAUUCACAACACAAAAAAUUGAGUAAUGUACGAGAAACUACUAUGUAAUGGCAACAUUAAAGUAAAGGCAACCUCAACCUCAACAACCACAACUAUGUCAUCACGGAGCACGAAGUUAAAUUCGGAAGAAUCGUUCCAUUCGACCCAACAUCACAGAACACGUGGGACCUAUUUCAACUACAAACCACCUCAGAAGAGAACGCUCAUCCGAACCAAUGAAACAGCGAGUAGAAUUUCAACUAUCAACGAGGAGGUAUCGGCCACGAUUCAUCUAGACUCAAGAAUUACCAGAAAAAGAAAAGGAGAUCUCUUUCUUCGAGAAUGAUUCUGCGUGUUUGAUAAUCAGUGUUUCAUCAUCUUCACGAAGUUCUCUCAAUUAUGCCAGAGUAUCGACGCGAACCAGCUUCUUCAAUGGGAACUUGCAGGACAAAGAAACUAUACAUUCUAUAAAUAAUAUAAGCAAAUACGUGGACUGAGAAAUAUUAGGGUAGUAGUAUAGGGCUUAGAAUGAAUAGCAUUUGUGACGUUAUUAUUAAACUAAAUCUCACGUUGAACACUUCAAUGAUCCACCACAACCUUUACGAAAUGAAAACCAUGCGGCGCUGUCAUCAUCUACAAAAUAAUACAAAAGGAUUCAAUGAAAUAUAGAAUCACCAGAAGACAACCAUCUACGACAACAUCAUCAGAAGCUCUCCAACAACGUUGCUGCAAUCUGAAAUGCGACUCAACAUCAGCCAUCGGUUAGUAACUACUGUGGAGCAAUAUUGUACCUGACGUUUGGACUACAUCGGCAUAUAUCUGGAGAACAUAACUUAAAGCACAGCUUCAAGCAAGUACAAUGCAGCUUUGGCAUCGAAAAGAAAAAUAUUCAACAUUACAACCAAUCCUGCGCCAUAAAAACGAUCAACCAGAAGUAAACACAUCACAGCGAAAGUACAUCUAACCGUCAUCUAAGUACAUCAACCGUACAAGGUCAUCUAACCGUAUACUGAAUAAGCAUAUUAAAACUUCAGCUAAGCAGUACAGAGUGAAGUGCAAUUGUUAAUAAUAAUCGAAAUGAUUGAUCGCAAGAAUUCGCUUUAAAAUUCACACCAGCUACUGUGGAGAAUUAGAUGGGGAAUGAACUUUCGUUUGUUAUCUUGGCGCUAUAGUAUCCGGACUUAUGUCUCCAACGGUGCACAAUUAUCACUAAACUACGCUUUGAGCAAAAGCAAUAUUUCGUUAUGUGAGAACAUUAAACAUCAUGCAACGGAUAUAUUGCGCAACACUAUAGAACGAAUAUGAUUGGAUGGGAGCGUAAACGACACAAUAGAUGUAUCAACUUAACUUGUCUGUGGAAGAUGUAGAGAUGUGCUGGUUUCCUUGGUUUUCGCUGCAAAGAUUGGAGGUGGUGUCAUUGAGGUUGAUUAACGCUGAUGAUGCGGUUUAAUAUGGAUUUCGGAAAACCAAAAAUUUGGGAAAAUCUAUAGAAUUUUGGUAAAGCUAGAAAAUGUACAUUGUUUAUCACAAAAGAAACAACAAUUGCUAGGAUAACUUUACAAAUGUAUCAGAAUGGUUGCAGCGGAGAAACUGAAUUGAACAGUUAACGAAUAGGUAAACUAAGAAAAAGAUUGACGAAACGCAAUAUACACGAUCUGUAGCUGAGAGAACUGAAAUGCCAAUAGGAAGAACGAAUGAGGGGAAUUGAUUAGCAGAGGAUGAAUGAAUUGGAGGUUUAUUCAGGUAUCGCAAAUGUUAGUGAUUAGAGUAUGCUAGGAUAAUGCAACACUACGCGGUUGUCAAUUUAGGAUUAUUUUCAGUAAAUGAUAAAAAUGUUCGAUUCAUUUUCAAUCAUUUUAAUAAUUAUGCGUACAAAUUUCA